GACUCUUCUCGUCUCGGUCUCGCAUCGAUGAAGAACGUAGCGAAAUGCGAUACUUGGUGUGAAUUGCAGAAUCCCGUGAACCAUCGAGUCUUUGAACGCAAGUUGCGCCGAAGCCGUUAGGCCGAGGGCACGUCUGCCUGGGCGUCA
rnacentral:rRNA from 1 species